GGCUCUGUAGCUCAGUGGAUAGAGCGUCGGUUUCCUAAACCGUGCGUCGCAGGUUCGAUUCCUGCCAGGGCCA
rnacentral:tRNA from 3 species